rnacentral:rRNA from 1 species
GAAUAUUGCGCAAUGGGCGAAAGCCUGACGCAGCGACGCCGCGUGGAGGACGAAGGUCUUCGGAUCGUAAACUCCUGUCGAGCGGGACGAAGCCGGGGCGGUGAAUAGCCGCUUCGGUUGACGGUACCGCUAAAGGACGCCCCGGCUAACUCCGUGCCAGCCGCCGCGGUAAUACGGAGGGGGCCAGCGUUGUUCGGAAGCCUUGGGCGUAAAGGGCGCGUAGGCGGCUUUGUAAGUCCGUUGUGAAAUCCCUCGGCUCAACCGAGGAACUGCGACGGAUACUGCUUGGCUUGAGUUCCGGAGAGGGUAGCGGAAUUCCCAGUGUAGCGGUGAAAUGCGUAGAUAUUGGGAGGAACAUCGGUGGCGAAGGCGGCUACCUGGACGGGUACUGACGCUGAGGCGCGAAAGCUAGGGGAGCAAACAGG